rnacentral:rRNA from 1 species
GACGAACGCUGGCGGCGUGCUUAACACAUGCAAGUCGAACGGAAAGGCCCUGCUUUUGUGGGGUGCUCGAGUGGCGAACGGGUGAGUAACACGUGAGUAACCUGCCCUUGACUUUGGGAUAACUUCAGGAAACUGGGGCUAAUACCGGAUAGGAGCUCCUGCUGCAUGGUGGGGGUUGGAAAGUUUCGGCGGUUGGGGAUGGACGCGCGGCUUAUCAGCUUGUUGGUGGGGUAGUGGCUUACCAAGGCUUUGACGGGUAGCCGGCCUGAGAGGGUGACCGGCCACAUGGGGACUGAGAUACGGCCCAGACGCCUACGGGAGGCAGCGGUGGGGAAUAUGACACAAUGGGCGGAAGCCUGAGGCGGCAGCGCCGCGUGCGGGAUGACGGCCUUCGGGUUGUAAACCGCUGUCGCCUGUGACGAAGCGGGAGUGACGGUAAUGGGUAAAGAAGCACCGGCUAACUACGUG